AUUUUGGUUUUUAGUAAUCUUACUUAUGUUGUGGCACCCUGAAGAAGCAGGAUGGACCACACACCCCCAAAAUCGGCUCCAAUAUCCAGGCUGAAGAUUUCACACAUGUUUUGGAAAGUUUUGACUGACCUACCUUGAAGCUCACCAAUUCUUUUGUAGGCCUGUCCAGUCCCUAGCCUUAUAUCAGACAGCUGUCAGGCAGUUCUCAGUGAAUAGUUCUCAGAUAUAGAACUCAUCUACCAAAGAAGAUAGUUCUCCACGAGGAAAGACAUCGCGAUACCAUGGUGAGCGUAUGUGUGUAUUUUUUGUUCUUCUCCCUAACAUCAUGGCCAUUUUCUAAAAUAGCCAUACCUGGGAAAGGGAAAUACUUACAGCUUGUAGGGACUACUGAUUAUGUGGUCUGAGUUUAUGCUCAAAUCCUUGAACCCAAAGCACCACCAUGAUCCCCGUUUUCGUGAAGUAGCACAAAGCCAGUGGGACCCUGAUUCAGGUGCAUCUCACAAUAGGUUCACUGAAACAAGCAAGCAGAACUGGUUAUUCUUCCCGACUUAAAUCAAAAUCAAAAUGGGCAUGUUUAGCAGUUUUGUCCCUUACAUUGGUUUUUCCAUUAGAAAAGCCAAAUGGAAGUCCCUGGAACUUCCACAAUACAAUACCACUGCCCCUGGCCUAUAUAGUAAAUUAAAAAAGAAGGUAGCAUUCCAGAAGAAAAGCAGGGAUUACUGAUACUAACAAAAUCUUUAAGAAUGCUGGUGAAUGGAUUCCACCAUAUGCACAUUUAAUUAUAUCCACAUUGAACAGGAAGCGAUGUUUCAUGAUUUUGUAUAAUUCUGAGACUAAUGGCCAUUAUUAGCCACUGGCCCCAGUGGGUAGAAUGUGUGGAUCCAUGGUCCAGGAGUAGAGGUAACAAGAAGACUGCUCACUACCACUUUAGGAAUUUGUGCUUCACAUUCUACUAGGAGACAUAAGAAUCAUUGGACUUAUAGUUACAGUUGCCAUCUGUUUAUUUGGAAUCUUCAUACCAGUAAUUUAGGAGGCAUAGAAAGGAAUUCCCAAACAGCAAAUGUAAUUGAUCCUGAUCAUGAUGGGAAGGUAGGAUUGCUUCAGUUGUAUAACACGCACAUGGAAGAAUAUGUUCGGCACUCAGGUGAAACACUACAGUGCU